GACCUUGGCUGCUGUCUGACAAAGGGUGUUAUAUGGGAAGUGAUCCCCUUUGCUAACAGGCUGGAGGGGGGGGAGAGAGAGAGAGAGAGAGAGAAGCCAAGAGUUCAAGAUAAACACUGUUCCAGACAUUUCCCAGUGGAGAGCUAAGCUCACAGCUAAGACAAUUCCAGAUCCCGUUCAGAGAGGGUACGCUUUUUUUUUCCCUUUCUCAUGUGCAGAACUAAAGAUUUGUGCACUCAGUUGCUAUGGAAACAAAAAGGACAGAAACAGUUUAUGUAAUUCAAAAGCUGUCAGCCUAUGUGCUGGGGAUUUUGAUAACUAAACCUAAACACGAACCAUCCUUUUUAAAAACCAUUGUGACACUUAUUACUGUUGCUAGGGGAAAUAAGGCAACUAUUUGUUUAGCUAGUUUCCCAUCAGUUUUAUAAAUAGUUUGGAUUUUAAUUUGUGAUCUUAAUCAGUGUUUAUCAAAUAAGAAUGGAAAUAAAGUGA